UACGAAGGGGGCUAGCGUUGCUCGGAAUUACUGGGCAUAAAGGGUGCGUAGGUGGUUUGUUAAGUCAGGGGUGAAAUCCCGCGGCCCAACCGUGGAACUGCCUUUGAUACUGGCGAACUUGAGUGCGUGAGGGGUAGGGGGAACGAGCAGUGUAGCGGUGAAAUGCGUAGAUAUUGCUCGGAAGGCCAGAGCCGAAGGGGCCCUACUGGUGCGCAACUGACACUGAGGCACGAAAGCGUGGGGAGCAAACAGG
rnacentral:rRNA from 1 species